rnacentral:rRNA from 1 species
UAACACGUAUGGGGCAAGCGUUGUUCGGAAUUACUGGGCGUAAAGGGUGCGUAGGCGGUUCAGUAAGCUUGGUGUUAAAUCCCCCGGCCCAACCGGGGAGCAGCGCUGGGAACUGCUGGGCUGGAGUUCAGGAGGGGAAGCUGGAAUUCCUGGUGUAGGGGUGAAAUCUGUAGAGAUCAGGAAGAACACCGAUGGCGAAGGCAAGCUUCUGGCCAUGGACUGACGCUGAGGCACGAAAGCGUGGGGAGCGAACAGGAUUAGAUACCCUGGUAGUCCACGCCGUAAACGAUGUGCACUAGGUGUUGGGGCGAUGAAAGCCUCGGUGCCGUAGCGAACGUGUUAAGUGCACCGCCUGGGGAGUAUGCUCGCAAGGGUG